ensembl:rRNA 5S_rRNA 5S ribosomal RNA
UUCUACAACCACAACACCCUAAAGGUGCCCGAUCUCAUCUGGUCUCUGAAGCUAAGCAUGGUUGGGCUUGGUUAGUACUUGAACGGGAGAUUACAAGGAAUUGUUUCAA